GAUGAACGCUGGCGGCGUGCCUAAUACAUGCAAGUCGAGCGAACAGACGAGGAGCUUGCUCCUCUGACGUUAGCGGCGGACGGGUGAGUAACACGUGGAUAACCUACCUAUAAGACUGGGAUAACUUCGGGAAACCGGAGCUAAUACCGGAUAAUAUAUUGAACCGCAUGGUUCAAUAGUGAAAGACGGUUUUGCUGUCACUUAUAGAUGGAUCCGCGCCGCAUUAGCUAGUUGGUAAGGUAACGGCUUACCAAGGCGACGAUGCGUAGCCGACCUGAGAGGGUGAUCGGCCACACUGGAACUGAGACACGGUCCAGACUCCUACGGGAGGCAGCAGUAGGGAAUCUUCCGCGAUGGGCGAAAGCCUGACGGAGCAACGCCGCGUGAGUGAUGAAGGUCUUCGGAGCGUAAAACUCUGUUAUUAGGGAAGAACAAAUGUGUAAGUAACUAUGCACGUCUUGACGGUACCUAAUCAGAAAGCCACGGCUAACUACGUG
rnacentral:rRNA from 1 species